rnacentral:rRNA from 1 species
GAUGAACGCUGGCGGCGUGCCUAAUACAUGCAAGUCGAGCGAACAGACGAGGAGCUUGCUCCUCUGACGUUAGCGGCGGACGGGUGAGUAACACGUGGAUAACCUACCUAUAAGACUGGGAUAACUUCGGGAAACCGGAGCUAAUACCGGAUAACAUGUUGAACCGCAUGGUUCAACAGUGAAAGACGGUCUUGCUGUCACUUAUAGAUGGAUCCGCGCCGCAUUAGCUAGUUGGUAAGGUAACGGCCUACCAAGGCAACGAUGCGUAGCCGACCUGAGAGGGUGAUCGGCCACACUGGAACUGAGACACGGUCCAGACUCCUACGGGAGGCAGCAGUAGGGAAUCUUCCGCAAUGGGCGAAAGCCUGACGGAGCAACGCCGCGUGAGUGAUGAAGGUCUUCGGAUCGUAAAACUCUGUUAUUAGGGAAGAACAAAUGUGUAAGUAACUAUGCACGUCUUGACGGUACCUAAUCAGAAAGCCACGGCUAACUACGUG